UGGCCACAUUGUGUUGAAACACCCAUUCACAUAUGAUCACUGAAGUUAAUCAACAUUGAGCCUGGUCAGUACCUAGAUGGGUGACUGAUUGGGAAUACCAGGUGCUGUAA